rnacentral:rRNA from 1 species
GGACUGCCGGCGACAAGCCGGAGGAAGGUGGGGAUGACGUCAAGUCAUCAUGGCCCUUAUGUCCAGGGCGACACACGUGCUACAAUGGCCGGACACAGCGGGAAGCGAAGGGGCGACUCUGAGCGACUCCUAAAGCCGGUCCCAGUUCGGAUUGCAGUCUGCAACUCGACUGCAUGAAGUUGGAAUCGCUAGUAAUCGUGGAUCAGCCAAGCCGCGGUGAAUACGUUCCCGGGCCUU